rnacentral:rRNA from 1 species
GACGAACGCUGGCGGCGUGCUUAACACAUGCAAGUCGAACGGAAAGGCCCCCUUGUGGGGUACUCGAGUGGCGAACGGGUGAGUAACACGUGAGUAACCUACCCUUGACUUUGGGAUAACUUCAGGAAACUGGGGCUAAUACCGGAUAGGAGCUCCUGCUGCAUGGUGGGGGUUGGAAAGUUUCGGCGGUUGGGGAUGGACUCGCGGCUUAUCAGCUUGUUGGUGGGGUAGUGGCUCACCAAGGCUUUGACGGGUAGCCGGCCUGAGAGGGUGACCGGCCACAUUGGGACUGAAAUACGGGCCAGACGCAUGCGGGAGGCAGCAGUGGGGAGGAGUGCACAAGGGGCGGAAGGCUGAUGCAGCAACGAAGCGUGAGGGAUGAGGGAGUUCGGGUGGUAAACAGCGAGGGCCUGGGACGAAGCGGGAGAGAGGGGAAUGGGUAAAGAAGCACCGGCUAACUACGUG